rnacentral:rRNA from 1 species
AUGCGCAAGCAGCAGGUCCACGAACAACUGCAAAACGGAGGAGAGAGGCGUGGACCAGCGGCGGCGGAGGAGGGAAAGCGGCAUUGGAGCAAGGGUAUAACGGUGGAGGUCAUGGAGCUCCGGGAAGGGUUUGGCGGGCGGCCUGGGAGGAGUUGCAAUGGCAUCGGCGAGAGAGAAAACAGAUGCAAAGAAAGAGGAAGGGUGGAGAAGCGGGGUCCCGAAGGAGUUUUGGGUAGGCCGGGGAUGUUGGAGUCCUAUUUGGUGUUAUCCAGACUCUCGCAAAGCCUUCCUAGUUUGCUUCCAAUUUACGGAAAAAAAUGA